rnacentral:misc_RNA from 1 species
UGGCAGGCUCCCUGCACUUAUGUGCGGCCAACUGUCAUGGGGCGGUCUGUUCACUAUUCCUUUGAUUGGCAUUACUGCUGUCUUGGGAUGCUUGCUGCUGGUUGCCUGUAUGGUUCUACCAUUUGAGGUAGUACGAUCGUCAAGCUCGUGUAUGCUUAGCUUGCUUAAUUGAUGUUGCUCAUCAAUGUGCGGCCGAGUUGUUAGCAAAUUUCUUGUGUGUCCAUGCGUUUGCGCCUUGGAGUUGCAUUUAGAUUUUUGCUGGUUCUCACGGAUAUUGUGCCUGUUUGGAGGUCUGCGGGCUUCGAGCUUUGUAGACCUUGUUGGGUUGCCCGUGCACAUAUCAUUGCCUCU